GACAGAGGGUGCAAACGUUGUUCGGAUUUACUGGGCGUAAAGCGUGUGUAGGCGGCUUGGCAAGUUGGAUGUGAAAGCCCUCGGCUCAACCGGGGAAGUGCACUCGAAACUGCAAGGCUAGAGUCUCGGAGAGGAUCGUGGAAUUCUCGGUGUAGAGGUGAAAUUCGUAGAUAUCGAGAGGAACACCGGUGGCGAAGGCGGCGAUCUGGACGAUGACUGACGCUGAGACGCGAAAGCGUGGGGAGCAAACAGG
rnacentral:rRNA from 1 species